rnacentral:misc_RNA from 1 species
ACAAACUUGGUCAUUUAGAGGAAGUAAAAGUCGUAACAAGGUUUCCGUAGGUGAACCUGCGGAAGGAUCAUUAUUGAAACAUUGUAAAGGGAGGUUGAGCUGGCUCUUCUAGAGCAAGUGCUCGCUUUCCUUUCAAUCUUCAUCCACCUGUGCACCUUUUGUAGAGAGUCUGAGAAAUAGGCCUUGUAAAAGAGGCCUUGAGUAUUGGGCUUUCUAUGUUUUACACACUCUUAAUGAAUGUCUUUGAAUGUCUUUUAUAAGGGACUUAGUUGACCCUUUUAAAAACAAUACAACUUUCAGCAACGGAUCUCUUGGCUCUCGCAUCGAUGAAGAACGCAGC